rnacentral:tRNA from 1 species
GCCCGGCCGGCUCAGUCGGCAGAGCAUGAGAUUCUUGAUCUCGGGUUGUGAGUUCGAGCCCCAUGUUGGCUG